rnacentral:lncRNA from 10 species
GGGCCAGCAGCAGAGCCAGGAUCCAGAAUCAAACACGGCUUUCAUCUGCUCCUGGCUUUAAAAGAGGUAUCACUGUCUCCUGAUGGGAUCAGCAUUUUGGUAGAGUCACAACCAAAACGGGAGUCCAUCUUCACAGGUCCUUGCUUGUCUUUGACCUCUAACCACUGCACCAUCUGACCAUGCAACAUUUCCCUGCCCAC